rnacentral:misc_RNA from 1 species
GAAAUUUAAUUGUCAAACAAGCAUAAUUUAUUGUUUAUAGAAAUAGCAUAUCAUCAAAGCUACAUAAAGUAAUCACACACUAUGACAAAGCUAUCACGUGCUUAUGUUGAUCACACAUAGCACUUUAUUAAAUUCUUCCACCUCAUUAUUUCUUACUCAAGGAGCUGAAUGCUUACAAUUAGGGUUGUACGGAGGGCACUUGCACUUAUUAUAACUAGAAGAAGAACCAGAUUUGCAAGGUUUUGUAGUUUCAUCUGUUUUCCCUGUAACACUAUCAGUCUUGAAGAUGACGUCAGGUUUGCGACCCCCACCAACUUCGCCUGCGGCAUUCAAACAAAGAUGAUAUAUAUAAUUACUAAACUAGUGAUUAUUCAUUUAGCAAUAUAUAUUUGCUUACGUAUUCUCAGUUUAGAGAAAAGUAAAUAGAAUAGCAUUUUGCAAGUUAAUUAAUUAAAUUUUCUCACCAUUAUGAAUCAACUCUCGAGCUACAGUUGGAGAGGGAAUGAGAAGGAAAGAAGACAAGAGGAUGAAAGUGAUAAGAAAGGCCUUCAUUUUGUUGUGCUUGACAGUUGAUUCUUCCCCAUGCAUCCUAGUCUUUAUUUAUAGAAAAAAAAGUUCUCACUAUUGAACUCUUUAAGUCUUUAUUGAAGUCAUGUAGGAGAAGACUUAGAUUGACCUAAGAAAGAACAAACACAAAUUUGAAGAUAAGGUAAAUACUAAAUCCUUA